rnacentral:rRNA from 1 species
GACGUACGCUGGCGGCGUGCUUAACACAUGCAAGUCGAACGGGUCUGCCCUGUUUUUUGCGGGGUGGGUCAGUGGCGAACGGGUGAGUAACACGUGAGUAACCUGCCCCUCACUUCUGGAUAACCGCUUGAAAGGGUGGCUAAUACGGGGUGUUCUGGCUGUGCCGCAUGGUGUGGCUGGGAAAGAUUCACUUUUGUGGUGUUUUGGUGGGGGAUGGGCUCGCGGCCUAUCAGCUUGUUGGUGGGGUGAUGGCCUGCCAAGGCUUUGACGGGUAGCCGGCCUGAGAGGGUGGGCGGUCACACUGGGACUGAGAUACGGCCCAGACUCCUGCGGGAGGCAGCAGUGGGGGGUAUUGCACAAUGGGCGGAAGCCUGAUGCAGCGACGUCGCGUGAGGGAUGGAGGCCUUCGGGUUGUGAACCUCUUUCGCCGGUGAAGAAGGUCCUGCUCUUUGUGGUGGGGUUGACGGUAGCCGGGUUAUGAAGCGCCGGCUAACUACGUG